rnacentral:lncRNA from 1 species
ACCUGCUCGAGUGAGGCCGGGAGCGGACCGCAGCCCGCUGGAGGUGCCGGGGGCGAAAUGCUGGCGUCUGCUCCUCCGUCUCCCAGAAUCCUGCCCUGGAAAAAACCAGCGCCAACCGCCGGUUUAACUGAGGACGGAUUUAAGGCAUUACGAAAGACAGCUUUCCCCUUUGCUCGGCUCUCCUUCUCUCUCCUGCUGCCCUGUGAAGAGGUGUCUUCUGCCAUAAUUCCACAACACAUGCGUGUAUCUUGCUUGGGCUAUCUUCCCUGCUCUGCCACGCCGGGUCUGGAGAAGGGGUUUCAGCCCCAGGACAUUUACUGAGAGUCGGCGAAUAUUGGGCAUUACUAGGGAUGUGAAUGGGAGACUGGUAUAGAAAGUGGUGAGGAGCCGAAGCCAAGAAAUUGCUUUAAACACAAGAUGAAAACGCUCUGUUCUGUACACAAAGAAUCACCUAAUACUGGUGUGAGGCAUCUCACUUAGCUGUGGAGAAGUCCUUGGAAUUAGAUCUCAGAAAGACAGUUCCAGCUUUAAGACAGUAAAACCUUUAGGCAAUGGGCUAAUUG